rnacentral:rRNA from 1 species
AUUGAACGCUGGCGGCAGGCUUAACACAUGCAAGUCGAGCGGAGAUGAGGUGCUUGCACCUUAUCUUAGCGGCGGACGGGUGAGUAAUGCUUAGGAAUCUGCCUAUUAGUGGGGGACAACAUUCCGGAAGGAAUGCUAAUACCGCAUACGUCCUACGAGAGAAAGCAGGGGAUCUUCGGACCUUGCGCUAAUAGAUGAGCCUAAGUCGGAUUAGCUAGUUGGUGGGGUAAAGGCCUACCAAGGGGACGAUCUGUAGCGGGUCUGAGAGGAUGAUCCGCCACACUGGGACUGAGACACGGCCCAGACUCCUACGGGAGGCAGCAGUGGGGAAUAUUGGACAAUGGGGGGAACCCUGAUCCAGCCAUGCCGCGUGUGUGAAGAAGGCCUUAUGGUUGUAAAGCACUCUAAGCGAGGAGGAGGCUACUGAGACUAAUACUCUUGGAUAGUGGACGUUACUCGCAGAAUAAGCACCGGCUAACUCUGUGCCAGCAGCCGCGGUAAAAC